UACGUAGGGUCCGAGCGUUGUCCGGAAUUACUGGGCGUAAAGAGCUCGUAGGUGGCUUGUCGCGUUGCUCGUGAAAACUCACAGCUUAACUGUGGGCGUGCGGGCGAUACGGGCAGACUUGAGUACUGCAGGGGAGACUGGAAUUCCUGGUGUAGCGGUGGAAUGCGCAGAUAUCAGGAGGAACACCGGUGGCGAAGGCGGGUCUCUGGGCAGUAACUGACGCUGAGGAGCGAAAGCGUGGGGAGCGAACAGG
rnacentral:rRNA from 1 species